rnacentral:rRNA from 1 species
UACGUAGGGUGCGAGCGUUAAUCGGAAUUACUGGGCGUAAAGCGUGCGCAGGCGGUUCGUUAUGUCCGUUGUGAAAGCCCCGGGCUCAACCUGGGAAUGGCAAUGGAAACUGGCGGGCUAGAGUGUGGCAGAGGGGGGUGGAAUUCCGCGUGUAGCAGUGAAAUGCGUAGAGAUGCGGAGGAACACCGAUGGCGAAGGCAGCCCCCUGGGCUAGCACUGACGCUCAGGCACGAAAGUGUGGGGAUCAAACAGG